AUAGAUGAUAAGAUUGUGAAUAACCAAUCAAAUUUGAGUUUAAGUUCCGAUUGUGUUGAUAUCUUUAAAUACAUGAAACGGUAAACAUAUGAAUGUAUAUUACGUGAAAUGUAGGUCGUAUUGUGACUCAAUACUUUGCUAUAGUUAUCAGAGUUUUCUUGGCUACGAAUCAGGAGUAAACUGCGCAGUCAAGGCCUCCCUCCAUCACACUCAGAUUAAUUUGCUGCUUAAUUUACUAAGUCAAAGCGUCCCCAUUGUAUCACUAUACACUUUACAAUUAAAAAGAAAACAACUAAGUAAAGAAAUAAUGAAAUAAAAAAAUAGGGAAUCUUUGAAAAAAGCUCCUUAAUGGGGAAUAUUGAAGGUCAAACAAGUUUGUAAAAUUGGUUGGGUAGAGAAACACUUUUAAAUACAUAUUGUUUCAGACAUGGAUUUUCAUAUUUUCUGAAAAUAAAAACACGAAAUUAACUUAUAAGUCACGUGGUACAUCUACUUAUAUACUUGAUAUCAUGUUUUAUCAGUUCAAUGAAAUGAAACUACGCAAUUAAUUUGAUAUAGAUCGUUUAUAUAGAUAUACAUGUGUUGGUAGCAAUAUAUAAUAAAUACAUACACAACGAAAGGACUUUAAAAUACUAUAAGAGUAACAAAACUAGGCUAGUGCUUUGUCUAACCAAGAGAAAAAUGAAGAUUAUAUGCUUUCCAUGUGGAAAAAAGACGGAUACAACGAACGAGACUCUGAUAAAGCUAGCGAACGGAAAAACCAGUAUUCAGGGGACCUGUGCAAAAUGCGGCAAAAGAAAGUCUAAAAUUGUUGGCUAGGCCAUUCGAGAACUCAAUAAUUAGUGAUGACAAUACUUACUGUUUAAUCAACUUCAUUGAAAUGUUAAAAUUAACUUACAACAUGUACUGAUAAUAAUUUUUGAAAAGAAAUAUUGUGGAAAUAUUUGUUUAAUAUAUUAUAUCUAUCUACUUGAACCCCUUUUUCAAAUUAACAAAAUGAAAUCAUA